rnacentral:rRNA from 1 species
AACGAACGCUGGCGGCAUGCCUGACACAUGCAAGUCGAACGAUGCUUUCGGGCAUAGUGGCGCACGGGUGCGUAACGCGUGGGAAUCUGCCCCUUGGUUCGGAAUAACUCAGAGAAAUUUGAGCUAAUACCGGAUGACGACGAAAGUCCAAAGAUUUAUCGCCGAGGGAUGAGCCCGCGUAGGAUUAGCUAGUUGGUGGGUAAAGGCCUACCAAGGCGACGAUCCUUAGCUGGUCUGAGAGGAUGAUCAGCCACACUGGGACUGAGACACGGCCCAGACUCCUACGGGAGGCAGCAGUGGGGAAUAUUGGACAAUGGGCGCAAGCCUGAUCCAGCAAUGCCGCGUGAGUGAUGAAGGCCCUAGGGUUGUAAAGCUCUUUUACCCGGGAUGAUAAUGACAGUACCGGGAGAAUAAGCUCCGGCUAACUCCGUGCCAGCAGCCGCGGUAA